CUCGUGUCAUUUGAUUUAUGAUACUAUAUAUGAGUUUUGUCCUUUUAUAUUGCAUAUAUAUUAAAAAUAAAUUAUAAAUGAGUAAAGCUAUUAAACUUUUAUUGUUAAUUAUUAUCUAUGUGUUUUUAAUAACAUAUAUACACCGUAGCACGCAUACAAUAAGUCACAAAUUUAAGCUACUUAAUUACACUUCAUCAGCACAUGAUUGGCUUUCUUUCCAGCCUAGAUUAAUAUAAAAAAGAAAAAAAUUAAUCCAAAACACAACCAUUUCUUUUUGCUUGAUAUGAGGAAGUUUACAACAUAUUCUUAUCAACCUUUUGUUCCUAUACCGUGUCUGCUUUAUUAGCUUUCCAUUUAUUUUAGAGAUUUGCGCAGAUCUUAGGAUCCGUGUGAUUAAUUUGUCUAAAG
rnacentral:lncRNA from 1 species